UCCUCAUCUCAUGCGGCUUCUCCAUCCAACUCCUCUCCGGCCUCCAGAUCCGGGGCGUCAACAAGGCUGUGUACUCCUGGAGAAAUUGAUCGUCAGGGUUUCCGCGGAAGCAAUUUGGAGUCAACUAGCGUGAAAUACGAUUUUUUUUCUCAUACCCGCACGAAGCCACUGCCUUGGGUGAUCUCGGCAGCGGCCAGGGAGUUAGGUUUGGCAGCUCAAGGAGGGAGGGUAGAGACGGGAGAGGUGGCGGCGAGCGGGCGGCGGAGGAUGGUCGGUGAGCUCGGGAGGGACGUGCAGUGGCUCAGGGAGGGAAGGUGGUGGGAUUGAGAAGCAAGGCGAGCCUCGGGGUGGCACAGGCGAGCUUCAGAGGGCAGUGUGCAGUAGAUGCCUUUUUCCUCCUUCCAUUCUUUCCCUAUUUUCAUCCGAAUACACAACUUUCUCCCUCUCUUUUCCUCUCCCUCCCUCUCCCUUCCCUCCUUUCUCUCCUCCCCUCAUUUCUCUUCUUCCCCUUCUCUUCCUUUCUCCCUGAAUGCACACUGUAUACUGAAAAUGGAAAAGGAUUCAAGUUUCUCACGAGGAAGUGAAAUGUCUCUACUGGAGCAAUUUGAAGGUAUAUUGGAAGGAGAUAAACUCAUGUGAGCCUGCUAAGUUCCAUUUUCCUUUAUGAAAAUAUAUGCAUUUUGUAGUUUCCUUUUUGUUUUUCCCAUACCAAAUUAUGUUCCCAAUUAUAUCAUGAUUCAUGAAGAUUCUUCACACGGGCACAUAUUAAAGUUCUCUAACUGAUGGAGGAGGUAGUUUGAUUACAUUAGAGCCAAUAAGGGCUUCCUAAGACGAGAGAAAAAUUCUGGAAUAGCUCUCUGAAUGUUUUACAGAUCCAAUUCUACAAGAUAUGCUUCAUUGCCCACUGAUUUAUGAUGAAAUAGGUUUCUUGGGCCCAUCUCAGUUUGCUUCACUAGAUCAGGAUUUAAGUGGUUCUUCUCUUGACCAGUGCACUCCUAUUCAGUUGGCUGAUUGCAUCUGCUCAGGAAAACUCUGAUCACCUUCUUGAAGAUGAAAUUCUAAAACACACGAAGGCCUUACUGAUUUUAAGCUGCAACUUCAGCAGUGCUUGGAAUGACAGGUGGAUACAGGACAGUCGAGAUCAAUACACUAAGGAGCGUCUGGAUUCAGUAAUUGAUCAGUACACUAAGCGUCUGGAUUCAGUAACUACUGUACUAUUUUGAGUAAACAGAUUGUUGGCUACUUCAGUAUUCAGUAUUCAGUAUUCAGUAAACUGAUUGUUGGCUAAACAGAUUGUAGCUGUUCAAAACAGAUUUUUUGUGCUCUUUUGUUUUAUAUGUGAAUAUCACUAUAUACUUUGAAACA